UCUAGAGCUAAUACAUGCGAAAAAAUCUUUCAAGGUGAGCAAUCAUUUUGAAGGUGAUGCAUUUAUUAGAUUAAACCAAUCAUUGUAUCAGUAGUUUACUCUAUUGAUGCAUUGUUGUGGUGAGUCUGGAUAACUGUGCCGAUCGUAUGGCCUAGAGCCGGCGACAUUUCGAUUAAAUUUCUGCCCUAUCAACUUGUUGGUAAGGUAGUGGCUUACCAAGGUGAUUACGGGUAACGGGGAAUCAGGGUUCGAUUCCGGAGAGGGAGCCUGAGAAACGGCUACCACAUCCAAGGACGGCAGCAGGCGCGCAAAUUACCCAAUCCAGACACUGGGAGGUGGUGACGAGAAAUACCAGGUCGUUCCCAAAAGGAUUCGACACUGGAAUGAGUGCAAUUUAAAAAUUUCAACGAGUAACAACUGGAGGGCAAGUCUGGUGCCAGCAGCCGCGGUAAUUCCAGCUCCAGUAGUGUAUCCAAACGUUGCUGCGGUUAAAACGCUCGUAGUUGGACAAGAGAGUAGCUUGGUGCGGGCGGGGAGUGUAAUUGCUCUAUGUGUUUACUUGUUUAGAAAGUUGUCCUUGUCUUUCGAAAGUUAGCAAGGUGCAACUGACUUUUCAUGCUUAACCAUAGUAGUAGCGCUUGUCGACCAUGCUGCCAGGCUACUUGUAAUGUUUCGUGAGAAUGGUACAUGGUCUUCAUUGUACUGUGUAUUAUGUCUUACGUAGUGUGCCUUGAAUAAAUCAGAGUGCUCAAAGCAAGCUAUCGCUUGAAUGUUAAUAGCAUGGAACGAAUGUAUAGUGUAAGUGCGCUAGUAAGCAUCAUUCGUGGUGUUUGCUAGUACACAGCACCAACCGCGAAGCGGAACAUUGGUUACCGACUUCGGGUGAGGAUUAAGAGGGGCAUUUGGGGGCAUUAGUAUU
rnacentral:rRNA from 1 species